UUUAGAUGAGGGAGAACUUUGGCUGGCUGCUUCUGCAUUUCAGUGAGUCCUGAGGCACUGGUUCCAGUACUUUUUGUACAGACUUGGGGUCACCUGUCUGUCUUGCUGCUGAAUUCACUGGUGAAUUCAUUGAUAUAUUUAUGCCUGAAAAUAACAUUUGGAAAAAAAAAAUAGAGACAACAGUCAGAAAAAUGUGUGCUGACCGUCAAAACAGCUUUCCUGCUUUAAAAUAUUGCUAUCAGCCUUUGUGUGAAGAUGUUAUCUUGUUUAAUCUGGUGAAAAGAAUCUAAGAGGCUGGGGUCACAUGGCAUACAUUGAUAUGGUAAAGAGAAGCCCAUUAUCGAUCAACAAGGUUGCCUGGAGGUUUGUGACAGCAGAAGAUCAAAUGGGAGGCCU